ensembl:lncRNA
GUUGUUCCCAAGGACGUAAGCUUGAGUAUUGCCUUGUUCGCCAGGAGUGGUAGCUGGGAGGCAAGAGGAAACCCCCAACUGCGCUAUGUCUGAAUGAACAUUACGGGAGGAUUUUCCUGUGAUUAAAUGCUCCGACGGUCUGAGACAGAAUUAUCAGAAAGGCCCAGGUGAGGAGGACCUUUAGGGUAGCCUCUCCCAGGAGGUGAUGUUUGUGCAGAAGCGUGAAUGAUGUAUGGCAAGAGAUCGAGGUCAGAAGGAGUUCGAGUCUGCUUGGAUGACAUUAUUUCUAUCAUCCUCUUGCUCACUGGGCAAGAGGAGAAGGGGAUGACAGAGGAGAUGGUUGGAUGGCAUCACGGACUCAAUCGCCAUGAGUCUGAGCAAACUCCAGGAGACAGUGAAGGACGGAGGAACCUGGCGUGCUGCAGUCCAUGGGGUCGCAGAGAAUCAGACAUGACUGAGCGACUGCACAACAACUUUCUCACUGUAAAUUCUCUUACCACUUUGCCCUUUUGCUGCUCCUGCUGGGCCAAACCCCAGCCCCAGAUGGCUGUGGGGCAGAAUCGCUCCAACAAAGGGUCCGGUGUUUCCCUGUGGUGCGUUUCCUUCCCCCUCUCCCGCUUGUGCUCAAAAUCCCCUUCCAUCCCUCACUCGCAAGGCUGUUUUCCAUUUCCCCAGAGAUGGAGGGAAGAGAGACCGCAGCGACCAAAGGAGGACCAUGGGGUGGGCGGGGUUGAAGGGGAGGAAAGAGACUGCAGUGCUCACUGGUGCUCAGCAGUACUCCAUCGUGAACCUCCCUUGCCCUCACAAGGCCUUGGCUGACCUGUAGACACCCUCUGCUGGCCCACUGAGGCAGGGAGCUUGGCUGCCCUACAGUGCUGGACUCAGGAGAACAGACCACGAAGAUCAGGAGUCAGCGUUGGGCACGUAGAAGGCUAGGUCCCUGAAGACAUCCAGGAGGAGAUGAGAAGGCCAGUGGAUAGACUGAUCUGGAAUCUGGGAGAAUGAUCUUGGUAAACGACUUAACUUGAGAACAAAGUCUAGGUUAUGGGAUCAAAUGUGACCACUCAGGAAAUAUGUAUGAAGGAGAAGAGAGGCCGGAAAUGGAGCUUUGAGAAAUACCACACCUACAGGAUAGGGGUGCUGGUGGUAAAGAAUCUGUCUGCUAAUGAAGGAGACACAGGAGACGCACGAGUUGAGGGUUUGAUCCCUGGGUCGGGAAGAUCCCCUGGAGGAGGAAAUGGCAACCACUCCAGUAUUCUUGCCUGGGAAAUUCCAUGGACAGAGGAGCCUGGCAGUCUGCAGUCCAUGGGGUUGCAAAGAGUUGCACACGACUGAGCACACUCACACUCACACACACACACACAUACAGGAUAGUCAUUGGAAGAAGAGCUUUUCUGAGUUUUCCUGUCUGUAAAGUGGAUAUGAUGAUGCAAGUUGCUGUAAAGAUAUAAUAAACACUUAAUAUGUCACUUAAUAUAUAACACUUAA